rnacentral:lncRNA from 1 species
CCCCGGCGUCCCCCUCUCCCUCUGUCGGCCUUCCCUUGCCGUUCUGGCCGCCGGAGCAGCCCCGGCCAGCCCCGACCAGCAACCCACGAAAUGGGUUUCCAGCGGCUUUAGGCCCGCUUUUGAGCCGUUUCCGGGCCCCGAACCCGAGCCGUGCUUUGGAGUUUGUCGUUCCUCGCGUCGCCCCCGUCGGAUUGAUCCGAUUUGCGCGCGAUUUGGUGAGUAAUCUCACUAAUCCAGGAUUAGUUGGCUAAUUAUGCUUAAGGUUGGUUUAGUUUUAAUUAAUUAUGUUUAGGUUGUUAGAUUAGAAUAAAUUAGCAAUUAUUAGUCAAUUGUGAUGCAAUUUAGAUAAAUUGAUUGCGCAAUUAGCAAGUAGACGUGGUCUACUAAUUAUUGGAAGUGCCUUGGGAUUUUUCCCGACCCAAAUCGGGCUUCAAUUUGAUAAGUCGGGCCUAAGUGGAAUUUUUGGCAUUUAAAUAUUAAUUUUCGAAAUUAAUUAAUUAUUUAUUUAUUUUUCGGAAAUUCAACUUGGGUUAGUCGACGACCGAAAUUUCAUGGCGACCGUCGUGGUGAAGUCCGUUUAUUUAAUGGAGCUUUAUUUUGUGUUGAAUUGAAUUAUUUGCGAAGGUUGGGAAUUAUUCUUUAAUUGGAAAAUCGUUGGUUAUUAAUUGAAAAAUAACCAGGCAUCGUUUGAUAAUGCCAAAUCUAUUUGAGCGGACUACAGAAAAUGUGGGAGUUAUGGAAUGGAAAAUAUUAUAUUUUGGCUAAGGCCAGCCGUGUGCUCACGCACGAUAUUUUAUUGGGUGUUUUUAAUACAAAAACUUAGGCCACGACAUUAUUUGAAUUGACGAAUUUAAAUGCGCGGCACAAUGUCAUUGGGCCAUGAGGGAUUAAUCGUGUGUUGGCUUAUAGUUGAAGCAAUAUGAUUAUUGGAAGUUGAUGUGAUGUGUGUUGUGUUGAAGGGAACCAAUGGAUCAUAAGCAGGUAAUGGACUAAGUACUACACAAGUAGAAGACUUCGUGUGAGUUACCUCUAGUGCCUUAUACCAUUGCUUAUUGUAGUCAAGGACUAAGUAUUACAUGGCGACCUGAGCCGCAUGGGAAUUACCUCUAGCGCCUUGCAGCAUUGUAAUGUAUAGUAAAGGGCUAAGUGCUACGUCUCGUGUGAGUUACCUCUAGCGCCUUAUACUAUUGCUUUUGUAGUGAAGGACUAAGUACUGCAUGAUAGCGAGACUUCGUGUGAGUUACCUCUAGCGCCUUAUACUACUGUUAUUUGUGGUCAAGGACUAAGUGUUGCGCGAUGACGAGACUUUGUGCUGGGGUCACCUCUAGCGCCUUGAGCCUAUAUUUGAGUGGGAAUGUUGAAUGAGAAUGUUGAGAUUAAUUAUCAAGUAUGGAUGAAAUCAUCGUUAUGGUUUGAUUCGUUUGUUAUGGAUUGACUGAUUGAACUGAAUUGGCCGGGAAGGGUCAUUGUUGACAUGUAAUCGACGAGGUUGAUUGAUCAUUGCUUUGAUUUGAUGCUGUGAAUUGAUUGAUUGAAUUGAAAUGACCGUGAGUGGUCUUGUUGGCAUUUAAUCGACUAGGUCGAUUUGAUCGAUGCUUCGAUCAGCGAUAUGAUUGCUUGGGUGCCUAUUAUAAAUUGUACUGACUUGCAGGUGGGAUAUGAGGCCAAGGUACGUCUUCUACCCUGUGCGUGUAUAGGCAGCCUAUGGUAUAAUGGUUUACUAAUCGGGCUUAGUGGGGUAGAACUCGCUGAGACGUAGUCUCAUCCCAGUUUGGGGAAAACAUUUCAGGACCCCGAUGAGGAGCUGAUGAGGAGGUGUCUGAG